rnacentral:rRNA from 1 species
AUGCAAUCAUCUUGUUAUUUUCUGAUGGGUUGGUUAACAAGGUGCGACUUCUUUGACGGAGCUGAGGACUUCCUCUCCAGUGUGCCCGUCUACACGUUUACCCUCGGCGGAAAUGCAUAUAACCAGGGUCUUCGCACCAUUGCAGCAAAUUCCCCAGGCGGAAUGUUCAGCCCCCUCCCUGUUCCGGACUUGCCAAGCCUAUCCGUGCCCUUCUUCCAACUCUUGGAUAAGGUCCUCAAUGAUACCACGAUGCACAGUGAGAAGAAUCCUAGUCCCACUUCAGGGAGGUGCCCGCUAAAUGUAGUGAUUGUGUCAGCAUUUGAUUGCACCACGUCGACCCCAGCUUGGAACAAGGUGAAUCGUGAGGUCUAUUGGUUGGUGCAAAAGAAGCUAACCCAAUUUGUUCAUAGUUGCCUUGGCUACACAUACGGCAUGUCCACCCCAAACACGUACACAUCUGAGAUGAAACUGGUUGACCCCAUGGAGACAGAGGCAAGUGGGUACCCAAGAAGCUCAGCCUGGCGAAGGGAUGCUUGCACGAACAACAUGGCAGCUGGUCUCGUCGAGGCACACAGACUGAUCAGCGAGCACGGGCACCUGAAUGGCCUCAUCUUGCUCUUCUCUGAUGGGUUGAUUAACAAGGGCGACUUCUUUGAUGGAGUUGAGGGCUUCAUCUCCAAAGUGCCAGUGCACACGUUUACGCUAGGUGGAGGUGCAUAUAACCAAGCUCUUCUCACCAUGACAAAUAAUUCACCGGGAGGCACGUUUCACACCCUCCCUGUUCCGGAAAAACCAAGUUUAUCGGUGCCCUUUUCGAGGCUGGUGGAUAGCAUCCUCAGUGGUGCAGGGAAGUGGCCACGGGACGUGGUGAUUGUGUAUGCAUUUGACAGCACCACCUCAAACCCAGAUUGGAAACUGUGA